rnacentral:rRNA from 1 species
UCUGGUGGCUAUAGCGAGGCUAAAAAACCCGAUCCCAUUCCGAACUCGGAAGUGAAGAGCCUCAGCGCCGAUGAUACUGCAUCUUAAGAUGUGGGAAAGUAGGUCACUGCCAGGC